UUGCACCUGAUGGCGAGUGGCGAACGGGUGAGUAAUGCAUCGGAACGUGCCCAGUCGUGGGGGAUAACGCAGCGAAAGCUGUGCUAAUACCCCAUACGAUCUAUGGAUGAAAGCGGGGGACCUUCGGGCCUCGCGCGAUUGGAGCGGCCGAUGUUAGAUUAGGUAGUUGGUGGGGUAAAGGCUCACCAAGCCAACGAUCUAUAGCUGGUCUGAGAGGACGACCAGCCACACUGGAACUGAGACACGGUCCAGACUCCUACGGGAGGCAGCAGUGGGGAAUUUUGGACAAUGGGCGAAAGCCUGAUCCAGCAAUACCGCGUGCAGGAAGAAGGCCCUCGGGUUGUAAACUGCUUUUGUACGGAACGAAACGGCGCGCUCUAAUAAAGUGCGCUAAUGACGGUACCGUAAGAAUAAGCACCGGCUAACUACGUGCCAGCAGCCGCGGUAAUACGUAGGGUGCAAGCGUUAAUCGGAAUUACUGGGCGUAAAGCGUGCGCAGGCGGUUUUGUAAGACAGGCGUGAAAUCCCCGGGCUCAACCUGGGAAUUGCGCUUGUGACUGCAAGGCUAGAGUACGGUAGAGGGGGGUAGAAUUCCGCGUGUAGCAGUGAAAUGCGUAGAUAUGCGGAGGAACACCGAUGGCGAAGGCAGCCCCCUGGACCUGUACUGACGCUCAUGCACGAAAGCGUGGGGAGCAAACAGGAUUAGAUACCCUGGUAG
rnacentral:rRNA from 1 species